UAAUAAUUUGACUUACUGCACUACCUGUAAUGCUUCUCACAAUGGAUUUACAAAGCACAACAUGUGAAUGAAUAUUAGUCUAUGUGACAUUAGAACUUAAAGAAUGUCUUUCAAUUUCAGAGAAGCCUAUAAGCAACAUUAUUUAUUACGAAACGAGUUUAACAUGUCGACUGCAGUGCAUCCCCUGGCGGCGCAGCAGAGGUGCCUGCUGUGGCCACUGGCGGCCACACGGCAGUUAACGUGUCAAUUCUCACACAGCUUGUCCGAUACAAUUGUUUUCUUUCUUUCAGAAAUGAAUGUUCCAUCAAUCAACCAGCUAUUACUGAGAAUUACAUAUUUCAGUUCUGGUGAUUGCCUUCUGUCCAUUGGGGACUGCUGACAGGAUUAUUGUAUACCUUGGGAUACAUUAAAUUUCUGAACACAUAUGAGGACUUUGCUGGAACACAGGAGUCUGUGGUGCCAUAGAUUGCAUACAACUUUGACCAGCCGCAAAGUAUCUCGGGCAAAUAGUUUUGGGACCUGGACCGCUUAGCGCUCAUUUCAGACGAGCUGUUUCUGUAGACGGUGACUAGAUAAAAUUAAUGACAUGCACAAAAAUACACAGCAUGGAUGGGAACCAGGGAAUAAAAUGCUGUCAUAUGGUGCACCUCCUAUUACUACCAUAGUUGGUGUUCCUCAGUUAGCUAUCUGGGAUUUAUCCGCUGAUUGUGCAGCUGACCCUAAGUGCAGGUGAGCAGUGCAAAAGGUGAUGGAGAAACAUCUGAGAUCAUUUUAGGAGAUACGGAAACUAGAAAGGUCUGCGACAAGUGGAUCAGUAGCCACGAAGAAAAGAGCUGUGUACCGGGACAGGCUUCAAUUCCUUAAUAGCAUGGAGGUUGAAAGGAAAAUGUUUUCCUAACAGUGUGCUACAGGAACUCGUUAAGGAAAGACUUGAAGAUCGACAGACUUCUUCCAAAUUUAUCGACUGAGGACGAAACUGGUUUGUUCCUCAAAUCCAUGGCAGCAACAGUAAAAAAAUUUAGACCCAACCUUAUUUGCAAAGCCAAAAAACAGAUUUGAAAUACUGUGAUGGACAUAUAAACCAUAAAUCAGAGAGAUCAAGGAUAUGGCAACAACUCCACAUUUUGGAACGCAAACAGCAGCCAUCCUGCUUCCAUCCAAAGUGCUGACAGUGAGCAAGGACCUAGGAACUAUGACAAUACUGUUACUGCUGCAAACUUUGAUACCUAUAAAACACAUCGCAAAUCCAGUACCACACCAGAACGACUACAGUAUUGCACAAUCAAACAUUCUCUGCCACCACCCUCUAUUUUCUGGGAUGGUUACUAAGGGUAGGCCAUGGCCAGUAGCCUAGUUCAUUAUAUUAUAUUUUACCAUUUGUGCCAAAUUUCUGCGUCUGGUUACAUAAACGUUAUGGAACUGUCAGUAGUAGUAUCAUAGAUACACUUUAAGAAAAUGAAAUGAGUUGCACUCCGCUGUGAAAACCCACUGUCAUAAAAGGUUUUUUUUGAAGUGGAUGACAAUUGUAUGUUGUGUGUUGGAGUAAU